rnacentral:rRNA from 1 species
CUACGGGAGGCUGCAGUGAGGAAUAUUGCACAAUGGGGGGAACCCUGAUGCAGCAACGCCGCGUGGAGGAUGACGCAUUUCGGUGUGUAAACUCCUUUUAUAUGUCAAGAAAAUGACGGUAGCAUAUGAAUAAGCACCGGCUAACUCCGUGCCAGCAGCCGCGGUAAUACGGAGGGUGCAAGCGUUACUCGGAAUCACUGGGCGUAAAGGACGCGUAGGCGGGUUGGAAAGUCAGGUGUGAAAUCCUACAGCUUAACUGUAGAACUGCACUUGAAACUUCUAAUCUAGAGUAUGGGAGGGGGGGAUGGAAUUAGUGGUGUAGGGGUAAAAUCCGUAGAUAUCACUAGGAAUACCUAAAGCGAAGGCGAUCUCCUGGAACAUUACUGACGCUAAGGCGUGAAAGCGUGGGGAGCAAACAGGAUUAGAUACCCCCGUAGUU